rnacentral:rRNA from 1 species
CCUGAGAAACCUAAAAGUUCGAAAGGAGAGAUUCAUCGUCAGCGUGUACUGUAUUCACGUGAGUAGCGAUGUGAGUUGCUUUUAAAAGGGUAAUACUUUUUAUUAGCACUUGCACGUUUUCAUGUUUUUUAUUGCAGUAUUUUUGCCGGCGUGCACUUCUCUCCUAGUAGGACGUCCCGACCCGUUGAGUCUUGGCCUACGGCACAGAUGGGAGCCUUUGAUACAUCGUAUCGAAGACCUCUGAUGUACUCCCGGCUGAAGUACUCGACGGUAUUUCAAUACAAUUGAUAUGGUACUAAGCCGCAUAUUUAUAUGCGUCUGGCCUGUCGCAAGUUUAUUAACAUAUUCUGUAUUAUCAUAGACUUAGUGCUAUGUAUAUGGUUAUGUUGGCUGUUUGCAUGACAGUGCCUUAGACUGGCUUUUAUACCUGUCAGGGACGCUUAGGCUUUGGGUACUCUCAGGACCCGUCUUGAAACACGGACCAAGGAGUCUAACAUGUACGCGAGUCAUUGGGUAUAUAUUUUCCUUCGGGAAUUUAUAUAAAACAAACCUAAAGGCGAAAUGAAAGUAAAGGUUGUU